AGUCAGAUGAGUUGGAAAGACACCACAUCGUUCCUGUAAAACGCAUACAGUUUGAUUGUUGUGAUGAGUAGAACGAAAAUGUCCGAGGCAAGCUGUUUGCUACCAUAAAACUUACACAUGAAGAACACUUUCAAGUUUAAGUUUUUCCACAAUGAUGGUUACAAACCUUCUAUCCUAAAGUGUGCUGUCCUAUACCAUAACCCAGACCACGCCUUUUUUCACCUGGAGGCCAGAUUGCUGCACAGUAAAUGGGAAAGCUGGUUCGAAAGCAUGGAAAUUAAGCUGUGUUGACAUAUUUGGGGACGAUAACAAGGGAG